CAUUAGAUGGCUGAAAAUUAAGCUAUGGUCUCUUAAACCAUCAAAUAGUAAUCUAAAACCUACUUCUAAUGA
rnacentral:tRNA from 1 species